AGUGAACGCUGGCGGUAGGCCUAACACAUGCAAGUCGAACGGCAGCACAGGAGAGCUUGCUCUCUGGGUGGCGAGUGGCGGACGGGUGAGGAAUACAUCGGAAUCUACUUUUUCGUGGGGGAUAACGUAGGGAAACUUACGCUAAUACCGCAUACGACCUACGGGUGAAAGCAGGGGAUCUUCGGACCUUGCGCGAUUGAAUGAGCCGAUGUCGGAUUAGCUCGUUGGCGGGGUAAAGGCCCACCAAGGCGACGAUCCGUCGCUGGUCUGCGAGGAUGAGCAGCCACACUGAAACGGAGACACGGUCCAGACUCCUACGGGUGUCAGCAUUGGGGAAUAUUGGACAAUGCGCGCAAGCCUGAUCCAGCCAUACCGCGUGGGUGAAGAAGGCCUUCGGGUUGUAAAGCCCUUUUGUUGGGAAAGAAAUCCAGCUGGUUAAUACCCGGUUGGGAUGACGGUACCCAAAGAAUAAGCACCGGCUAACUUCGUGCCAGCCGCCGCGGUAA
rnacentral:rRNA from 1 species